rnacentral:tRNA from 1 species
UGGUAGAGCAGAGGACUGAAAAUCCUCGUGUCACCAGUUCAAAUAA